rnacentral:rRNA from 1 species
CCUACGGGCGGCAGCAGUGGGGAAUAUUGGACAAUGGGGGGAACCCUGAUCCAGCGACGCCGCGUGAGUGAAGAAGUAUUUCGGUAUGUAAAGCUCUAUCAGCAGGGAAGAAAGAAAUGACGGUACCUGACUAAGAAGCCCCGGCUAACUACGUGCCAGCAGCCGCGGUAAUACGUAGGGGGCAAGCGUUAUCCGGAUUUACUGGGUGUAAAGGGAGCGUAGACGGCAGUGCAAGUCUGGAGUGAAAGGCGGGGGGUCAACCCCCGGACUGCUCUGGAAACUGUACGGCUGGAGUGCAGGAGAGGUAAGUGGAAUUCCUGGUGUAGCGGUGAAAUGCGUAGAUAUUAGGAAGAACACCAGUGGCGAAGGCAGCUUACUGGACUGUAACUGACGUUGAGGCUCGAAAGCGUGGGGAGCAAACAGGAUUAGAUACCCUGGUAGUC